CCUAUCACAUCUGCCUUUUAAGUUUUUUGAGCCUCAAUUUCCUCAUCUGUAAAAUGAGGAUAUUGGAGUCCUUUCCAGCUCUACUCUUAUGAUCCUAUGAUGCCUAGAACUUGAGAGUAGCAGCACCACUCUGGGGAUCCAACCUGUCAAUCCUUGACCACUGGUCAUCCGGCCUCUGCUCGAAGGUCUCCAAUAUGACCACUGGAGGAAGUCCAUUACACUCCGGGGCAGCGCUAACCAUUGACUCUUCAGGACAGCUAGGUGGACAGUGGAUAGAGUGC